rnacentral:rRNA from 1 species
AACGAACGCUGGCGGCAUGCCUAACACAUGCAAGUCGAACGAGACCUUCGGGUCUAGUGGCGCACGGGUGCGUAACGCGUGGGAACCUGCCUUUAGGUUCGGAAUAACUCAGAGAAAUUUGAGCUAAUACCGGAUGAUGUCUUCGGACCAAAGAUUUAUCGCCUUUAGAUGGGCCCGCGUAAGAUUAGCUAGUUGGUGGGUAAAGCCUACCAAGGCGACGAUCUUUAGCUGGUCUGAGAGGAUGAUCAGCCACACUGGGACUGAGACACGGCCCAGACUCCUACGGAGGCAGCAGUGGGGAAUAUUGGACAAUGGGCGAAAGCCUGAUCCAGCAAUGCCGCGUGAGUGAUGAAGGCCUUAGGGUGUAAAGCNCUUUUUACCCGAGAUGAUAAUGACAGUAUC